GCUAUAAUCGCAAGUCGCACGCGCAGCGAGAGGUGCUUGCACCUUUCAAGCGAGUGGGAAAGGGGGAGUAACACGUGGAUAACCUGCCUCAAGGCUGGGGAUAACAUUUGGAAACAGAUGCUAAUACCGAAUAAAACUUAGUAUCGCAUGAUACAAAGUUAAAAGGCGCUACGGCGUCACCUAGAGAUGGAUCCGCGGUGCAUUAGUUAGUUGGUGGGGUAAAGGCUUACCAAGACAAUGAUGCAUAGCCGAGUUGAGAGACUGAUCGGCCACAUUGGGACUGAGACACGGCCCAAACUCCUACGGGAGGCUGCAGUAGGGAAUCUUCCACAAUGGGCGCAAGCCUGAUGGAGCAACGCCGCGUGUGUGAUGAAGGCUUUCGGGUCGUAAAGCACUGUUGUAUGGGAAGAAAUGCUAAAAUAGGGAAUGAUUUUAGUUUGACGGUACCAUACCAGAAAGGGACGGCUAAAUACGUGCCAGCAGCCGCGGUAAUACGUAUGUCCCGAGCGUUAUCCGGAUUUAUUGGGCGUAAAGCGAGCGCAGACGGUUGAUUAAGUCUGAUGUGAAAGCCCGGAGCUCAACUCCGGAAUGGCAUUGGAAACUGGUUAACUUGAGUGUUGUAGAGGUAAGUGGAACUCCAUGUGUAGCGGUGGAAUGCGUAGAUAUAUGGAAGAACACCAGUGGCGAAGGCGGCUUACUGGACAACAACUGACGUUGAGGCUCGAAAGUGUGGGUAGCAAACAGGAUUAGAUACCCUGGUAGUCCACACCGUAAACGAUGAAUACUAGGUGUUAGGAGGUUUCCGCCUCUUAGUGCCGAAGCUAACGCAUUAAGUAUUCCGCCUGGGGAGUACGACCGCAAGGUUGAAACUCAAAGGAAUUGACGGGGACCCGCACAAGCGGUGGAGCAUGUGGUUUA
rnacentral:rRNA from 1 species